rnacentral:misc_RNA from 1 species
AGAGAAUAUGCGCACAAAUUUUGAGCGAGACUUCGUCGUUACCAACCAAGACAGCAGAACCAAAUGAUACAAAGAGCCCAAAUUUUCCUGGGGAAUUCUAUGUGGAAAGGGUAUUUUGAACACAGUAGGAAUUCAAUUGCAUAUGUCUCAAACUUUAGAAAUCUAGAUGAAAACUUUAGGUCACAUGAUCAACUCGAGAUUUGGCAGCCAUCUUUUUGACCUACUUUCUUCAUGCCGCAAAAAUUUUCACAUUCUUUCAAAACAACCUAAAAUCUCAGUAAAUAUCGGACAAAUGGAUACUGUUGAAGAGUACCAGCAUGGUGGGCCAAAGCAGGCAUACUUCAACCCAUAUGCAUUUAACGGAGGUACAGUACUUGCGGUAGCAGGGGAGGAUUUCUCUGUGGUUGCCUCUGAUACCAGACUUAGUGAGGGUUUCUCCAUCUUCACAAGGGAUAACCCCAAAACAUACAAUCUAACUAGCAACACAGUUUUGGGAUGUACAGGUUUCCAUGGUGAUGCCCUGACUCUUACUAAAGUUCUUGAAGCAAGACUUAAGAUGUAUGAACACGAGCAUCACAAACCCAUGUCCACAAAAGCAAUUGCUGCUAUGUUAUCCACUAUAUUAUACUACAAGCGUUUCUUUCCAUAUUACGUCAACAACAUACUUGGUGGCCUGGAUGAAGAGGGUAAAGGAUGUGUGUACAGUUUUGAUCCUGUAGGUUCCUAUGAGAGAGAAUCAUUCCGUGCUGGAGGUACAGCCAGCUCUAUGCUGCAGCCCCUGUUAGAUAACCAGAUUGGUUUCAAGAACCAGAUUGGUGUUGACCAGACCCCCCUAACUAAAGAAAAGGCAAUUUUCCUUGUGAAAGAUGUAUUUACAUCCGCUGCAGAGAGAGACAUUUACACAGGAGAUCAACUCAUUAUUAAUGUUAUAACUAAAGAUGGAACAAGAACAGAAUAUUUCCCACUCAGGAGAGAUUGAUCCACAGGGACGUUAGAUCUGUACAACAUAAAAAAGUACUUUGUACUCUGUGAAAUAAAAAGGACUUUGUUCUCCGUGAAAUAAAAAGGACUUUGAUUCCUGUUUGGUAUCAUAAGAAUGUUGAGAAAACAUGUAUCCUUUAAUAACAUCGUUCAUCUUGUUUAUUACGUCAGUAAAAAUUUGAAAUUCAUCACAAAAUGAUUUGGAAAAUAUGUGCCCACUUUUACAAAUUGUGUAUAGUAUAAC